rnacentral:snRNA from 1 species
GUGCUCACUUUGCAGCACAUAUACUAAAAUUGGAACAAUACAGAAAUUAGCAUGGCCCCUGUGCAAGGAUGACACACAAAUUCAUGGAGUGUCCCGUAUUUUU